rnacentral:misc_RNA from 1 species
AAUUCUCUUAUUCAGUUUAUAUUCUUACAAAUGUCGAACACACUCUGUUUUUGUUCUUUUAGUUCUGUUCUCUUCUGUUCUGCUACUUGAGUUCUCGUUCUCACUCGAACUUAAUGCUCAUUAGCCGAGGGAGAAACGAAUUUUUGAAGGCAUAUAAAGAGUGGUAGUGAAGGAAACAGAGCAUAUUGGGCUGUGUCCAGAGUUUUCCAUCUUCUGCUUGGCCAGCCUUUGAAGUUAACCAGACUCUGUGUAUAUAAACUAUUGUAACAUGUUUUUUUUGUUUUUUGAUGACAUGGAUCAUGUAUAGAUCAUAGAUGUGUGUAUAGGGGUGUGGAUGAAAUAGCGGGGACGUGUGUAACAUGUGUGUAGAUGUAUGUGUAGGGUGAAUGUGUGUAGAUGUAUGUGUAGGGUGAAUGUGUGUAUGUCUAGUCUGCGUAGAUGGGCGUGUGUCGAAACAAAAUGAUCACACACAAAUGACUAACAAAUCUAAUCGCUCUAACCAAACGAUCGCUAGUCGAAACACUAAAAUUACUAACUUGGUCCCGAAUCGUUAAAAGAACAAAUGGCUACCAGUUCACACAAAUGACCAACAAAUCUGAUCACUAACACUUAGUCGAAAUUCACUAGAAAACUGAACAGACGAUCGUUGGAACACACUAAAAUUGCUAAACUAACUCGGUACCUAAUCGUUUAAGACCAAUAAACACACA